CUGCCUUUGGCCACUCCUUGUCCUACUCCAUCUUCUAGGUUCUCAGUCACUUAGCUCUGUGUAUUGAGAAGAGGCUCACCCAGACUGUGCUUAGUGUCCUGGUGGCUGUGGCUAAAGGUACAAUCUUAGGGCAGGAACCAUGGAAACAGGUGCAUUAACAGGAGAUGUGUUUUUUUUGUGUAAGAUGUGUAAGUUUUUGUUGUUGAAUCAAUUGAUUCUUUAUAAUAAAACCUAAAUGAA